rnacentral:rRNA from 1 species
GAUGAACGCUGGCGGCGUGCCUAAUACAUGCAAGUCGAGCGAACAGACGAGGAGCUUGCUCCUCUGACGUUAGCGGCGGACGGGUGAGUAACACGUGGAUAACCUACCUAUAAGACUGGGAUAACUUCGGGAAACCGGAGCUAAUACCGGAUAAUAUAUUGAACCGCAUGGUUCAAUAGUGAAAGACGGUUUUGCUGUCACUUAUAGAUGGAUCCGCGCCGCAUUAGCUAGUUGGUAAGGUAACGGCUUACCAAGGCAACGAUGCGUAGCCGGCCUGAGAGGGUGAUCGGCCACACUCGAACUGAGACACGGUCCAGACUCCUACGGGAGGCAGCAGUAGGGAAUCUUCCGCAAUGGGCGAAAGCUUGACGGAGCAACGCCGCGUGAGUGAUGAAGGUCUUCGGAUCGUAAAACUCUGUUAUUAGGGAAGAACAAAUGUGUAAGUAACUAUGCACGUCUUGACGGUACCUAAUCAGAAAGCCACGGCUAACUACGUG